AGGACUAACGCUGGCGGCGUGCCUAACACAUGCAAGUCGAACGAGGUAGCAAUACCUAGUGGCAGACGGGUGAGUAACGCGUGGUCAACCUACCUCUUAGUGGGGGAUAACUAGCCGAAAGGUUAGCUAAUACCGCAUACGAUCGUCGCGAGGCAUCUCGUGACGAUGAAAGGAGCAAUUCGCUAAGAGAGGGGACUGCGUCCCAUUAGUUAGUUGGUGGGGUAAUGGCCCACCAAGACUCCGAUGGGUAGCUGGCUUGAGAGAGCGACCAGCCACACUGGAACUGAGACACGGUCCAGACUCCUACGGGAGGCAGCAGUGAGGAAUUUUCCGCAAUGGGCGCAAGCCUGACGGAGCGACGCCGCGUGUGGGAAGAAGGCCUUCGGGUCGUAACCACUGUCGAAGGGGACGAUAUUGACGGUACCCUUGGAGGAAGCCCCGGCUAACUACGUGCCAGCAGCCGC
rnacentral:rRNA from 1 species